AACGCGAAGAACCUUACCUACUCUUGACAUCCUGCGAAUCUGGCUGAAAGGCUGGAGUGCCGAAAGGAACUUGAACACAGGUGCUGCAUGGCUGUCGUCAGCUCGUGUCGUGAGAUGUUGGGUUAAGUCCCGUAACGAGCGCAACCCUUGUCCUUCGUUGCCACCCGAAAGGGGGAACUCGAAGGAGACUGCCGGUGAUAAACCGGAGGAAGGUGGGGAUGACGUCAAGUCAUCAUGGCCUUUAUGGGUAGGGCUACACACGUGCUACAAUGGGCGUUACAGAGGGUCGCGAACCUGCGAAGGGGAGCCAAUCUUUGAAAAGCGCUCGUAGUCCGGAUCGGAGUCUGCAACUCGACUCCGUGAAGUCGGAAUCGCUAGUAAUCGCGGAUCAGAAUGCCGCGGUGAAUACGUUCCCGGGCCUUGUACACACCGAGACGUA
rnacentral:rRNA from 1 species